UGUUCAGUGGCUUAGUUGGUUUAAGCGCCAGACUAGCGAUACGGAGUCGUGGGUUUGAACCCCACCAAAACAA
rnacentral:tRNA from 1 species